GGGUCAGUAGGUUGGUCGUGCCACCGGUACGUACUGGUCUCACUGAUUCCUCCUUCCUGAAGAGCCGUAAUGCCAUUAAUUUGGUGUCGCGGGGAAACAGGACUGUUACUUUGAAAAAAUUAGAGUGUUUAAAGCAAGCUAACGCUUGAAUACAUUAGCAUGGAAUAAUGAAAUAGGACGAUCGAUCCUAUUUUGUUGGUUUCUAGGAUUGACGUA
rnacentral:rRNA from 1 species